UACUUAUAUUUUUUUGCUUAGUGUGUUUAAUAAAUAAAUAAAGUGGCUAUGCUCAUCUGUAUCUAAAUAAAACUUAAGCAUGGAUAUGAUGAAUAGUUGCUCUGCCUAAUUUGCACAUUUUAAGUUCUCUCUCAAGUUUAGAUAUAACUGUUAUAAUUUAAAGCUUGCUCUAGAUCUAAACUUGUGGGAUGAAAAUUUGAUCUGAAGUCUAAGUUGUUAACGGAUACGAUAUGGGAAGGUUGAGUUGCUGUUUAUCUGUUCGUAGAGAAGCUAGAAUUCUGGAGAAUUUUAUCUUUGAAAAUCUUUAAAAUGUUGCAUGAUGAGUUCCUGUAUGAUGAGAGUUUAAAUUCCUACCACAGCCAUAUAUACAUGCUUGCUAGACUUUGAGCCACACAUUUACUAUUUACUGCUUAUGAGCAUUGAGUGUGGUCAAGCUGUGUAGACCCUUAGGAGCUUGUCAUGUGGUUAAAUCAAGAUUCACUUGCACAUUUACUCAUAUAUGUUACUUCUACUCCGGAAGUACCAUCCACAUAUAUCCACCCAUUCCAUCUCUAGAACCACUCAAAAAUAUUCUACUCCUAAUCCGGGAGAGAAUAGCCAAAAAUAUUUAUGUUUUCCCUUGUGAAAUAAAUGCUCAAGUUAUCUUGUUACUACCACUUGCUAUAUUAUCUCAUGAGAUGAGUGCUCUAAAAAAAUGAAAAAAAGAAAAAAGAAAAAAAAUAUAAAUACGAGGAAAUAAAAAGGAGCAAGUGCUCGGAACCUCGAAAGAAAAGAAAAAGUGAGACGAGAGGUAAAAAUGGACAAGUGUCCGACAGUAGAAUUAGGGGUACAAGAUACCCACCUGAGAGAAAAGAAAAAGAAGAGCAUCUCAUUCUCCUUAUAAAGUUUCAAAAGCAAGGAAGGUAUGUAUUCCCUAAAAGAGCAAAGUAGAAUUAGACUUCCACCACCAUUGUUAUCACCAUCAUCACCAUACACCAUUCAUUCGCCACACAUGCAUAUCUUGAUUUGACUUAUUGAUUUGUUUCUUUGGAUCCAUGGUUUGACUAUACAAUAAAUGUCUUGUAAGUAUGUAUAUUUUAUCUCCCACCUAUGAGCUCCAGAUAUUAAAAGCCUUAUUAGAGUAAGGUGAGAGAGAAGGCAAUGUCACUAUGCCUCAUACCACAAAUACUACAUAUAUUGAGAGAAGGCAUAUACCAUCACUGCCUUGGUAAGGAUCCAGAAAUACCACAAAAGAGAGAUCUGAGAGAGUCAUACAAGGAAUCUCUGAGUUUUAUUUGAAAAUCUACAAAAACCCCAGAGCUAUAGCUGAUCAAGAAUAAGAGACAUGGCACUUGACUAGACUGUUCUAUCUUUUAACUACUCAAGACAGAAGUGACGGUUACAAGUCCCAUGGUGAAGGUAAAGUAAGUAAGUUUUAAGUCUUGACAGUUUACUCUAACUCAGAGAUAAGAUCUUAUUUAAAAAGCAUGUGUACCGUCAAUUUUUUUAAGAUAUUGCAACAACUUAUGAUCCAUAGCUGAGUCUAACCUUGCUCAGGGACGAGCAAGAGGUAAGCUUGGGGGAGUUUGUUGACGGUCCUUAAGUAUCAAAUUUAAUUAUCAAAUAAACAAAGAAAAGGAUCCAAAUGAAAUCAAGAUCUAGACUUAGGGUUUUUUCUGACAGAAUUCCACGAGUUUUGGUGUUUGUCUAUUUCUGCAGGGGGUUAUCAGGAAAUACGGAAGAAAGGCCCACACGUCGGGAUUACAUAGAGAUAUUAACGUGCCGUGCAAUUAUCUUACAUCUAGAAGACUCCAGAAGCCACGAGACCGAAGCGGAGGCGAAACGGGGCCUGACCCUGGCCGCCCGCCCAGUUGGUCAGGGCGCCCACCCACCUCCUGAGUCCAAUCAGGACUCUGCUUUGCGGGAAAUUUCCACCGACCUAAAGGAUGAAUCUAAACCAUACAAUCUAUGUCGGUUUGAUCCAACGGCCCAUAUUCAUUUGAAGGGACUAUAAAACCAGACCCCCUGGCCCCUGGAGGAGGGAGCCUCUCAACCCUAAUUCAUUAUUCCUCAAGGGAGAAGAAGCCUCUGAUCAAGAUUAGAGCCACCACAUCAAUUAGAUAUCUAGAUUAGCAUAGCUACAUAGGAUUAGAACUAGAAGCAGUCAAUCUUCGAUUGGUUUCCGGAUCUGUCAGGAGGAUUCUUGGUAAUUCUCUAAUUGUGCUUCUAAUGGCUUUCUAAUUAUCUUUGUUCUUCAAUAUUAUGAAUAUGACUUUGUUCUACUUCAAUAUAUUGAUUAUGACUUUGCUCUACUUGCUUAUAUUCAAGAUUAUAUUGUUCUUAGUUUAUCAUAGUUAUGUACUUGGCUUAGUUAGAUUGGAUCUAUAUACAUGCUUAGGAUCGUAUAGCGUUUAUCCAUCGGAUCCAUGGGUAAAUGAUAGAUAUUGUGUAGGCAUGGUGCUUAUACCGUAUUUAUCUGCGAUUGUACCCAAUAUGCCAGAUCGUGGGGUGGUUCGUGAUAGUGACAGCUUCAUUGAUUCUUAUAUAGUCCCCCUCUCGUGUAUUGGGCUGGUAGAGCAACAUUAUUACAGGGGAGUGAUUGCUAUGUUUCUCAUAUUCCUUGCUAAUAUAACUAUGCAUGGGCGAAGUCUUGUCUCACAAUGAUUGCUAAGUAUGCUUGCACUAAUUAUGAUAAUGCUAGACUAUAUAGUUGAGAAUAAUUUAGGGAAUAUUCUUGUAGUUCGUUCUAAUACCAUGCUAAUGACUUUCUAGAGUAUCUAAUUGAGGUGCUUAUCAUAUUUAUUAUGUGGCUAGAUCAGAUUAGUUAUCCUUGUCAUUAUUAUUAUUUCAUAUAUCUUUUAUGUGACACUUAUCCCUGUAUGAAGAGUUAGAUAUAAUGUUCUCAAUUAUACAUGCAAUGAUAGAUGCUCAAUCUCAUAUUCUAUUCUGUAAUCAAUAUUGAUGAUUGCUAAUCCGUUCCCAGUGGUAAAAAUAUAAAUAACGAUACCUUGUAUACUUUCCGGUUAAAAUGCUGCAUCGGUAUUAAUCUGUACGCUUGCAGAUCCCAUUCAUUAUUUAUUUAGAAGAGCAAUUGCAUAUUUCAAUACCGCAUCUCUCAUGUCAUGCUGGGGAUGACAACUUGGCUUAAGUGGUGUGAGGGAUAGGUUUGGCAUUUUUGGCACCGUUACUAGAUUUAGAGAACUUAGUCUACUUUUGGUAAUGAUGUUAAGAAUACCCAACUUACACUGUUCUAUCUUUUAACUACUUAAGACAGAAGAGACGGUUACAAGUCCCAUGGUGAAAGGUAAAAUGAAUAAGUUUUAAGUCUUGACAGUUUACUCAAACUCAGAGAUGAGAUAUUAUUUAAAAGCAUGUGUACCGUCAACUUUUAAAGGUAUUUCAACAACUUCUGAUCCAUCACUGAGUCUAUCCUUGCUCAAGGAUGAGCAAGAGGUAAGCUUGGGGGAGUUUGUUGACGGUCCUUAAGUAUCAAAUUUAAUUACCAAAUAAACAAUGAAAAGGAUCCGUAUGCAAUCAACAUCCAGAAUUAGGGUUUGAUCUGACAGAAUUCCACAAGUUUUGGUGUUUGUCUAUUUCUACAGGGGGUUAUCAGGAAAUAUGGAAGAAAGGCCCACACGUUAGGAUUACAUAGAGAUAUUAACGUACGACGCAAUUAUCUUACAUCUAGAAGACUCCAGAAGCCACGGGAAAGAAGCGGAGGCAGAACGGGGCCUGGCCCAAGGCGCUCGCCCUAGGGACCAGGGCGCCCGCUCCCCUUUACAGUUCAAUCAGGACUCUCUUUCGGGAUCAAGCUCCACCGAAGGAUCAAGGAUAACCGUUCAAUCAAUGUUGGUUUGAUCCGACGGCCCAUAUUCACUUGGAAGGACUAUAAAACCAGACCCCCUAGCCCCUGGAGGAGAGAGCCUCUCAACCCUAAUUCUUAUUCCUCAAGGGAGAAGAAGCCUCUGAUCAAGCCUAGAGCCACCACAUCAAUUAGACAUCUAGAUUAGCAUAGCUACACAGGAUUAGAACUAGAAGGAGUCAAUCUUCGAUUGGUUUCCAGAUCUGUCAGGAGGAUUCUUGGUAAUUCUAUAUUGUUCUUCAAUUGUUCAUCUUUGUUCUUUGAUAUUAUGAAUAUGACUUUGUUCUACUUCAAUAUAUUGGUUAUGACUUUGCUCCACUUGUUUAUAUUCACAAUUAUAUUGUUCUUAGUUUAUCAUAGUUAUAUACUUGUCUUAGUUAGAUUGGAUUUAUAUACAUGCUUAGGAUCGUAUAGCGUUUAUCCAUCGGAUCCAUGGGUAAAUGAUAGAUAUUGUGUAGGCGUGGUGCUUAUACCGUAUUUAUCUGCGAUUGUACCCUAUAUGCCAGAUCAUGGGGUAGUUCGUGGUAGUGACAGCUCCAUUGGUUCUUAUAUAGUCCCCCUCUCGUGUAUAGGGCUGGCAGAGCAACAUUACUACAGGGGAGUGAUUACGAUGUUUCUCAUAUUCUUUGCUAAUAUCACUAUGCAUGGGCGUAGUCUUGUCUCACAGUGACUGCUAAGUAUAAUUACACUAACUAUGAUAUGCUAGACUGUAUAGUUAAGAAUAACUUAGGAAAUAUUCUUGUAGUUGGUCCUAAUUCCAUGCUAAUGACUUGCUAGAAUAUCUAAUUGAGGUGCUUAUCAUAUUUAUUAUGUGGCUAAGUUAUGCUGAUCAGAUUAAUUAUCUUUGUCACUAUUCAUUACUUUAUAUCCUUUAUGUGACACUUAUCCAUGUAUGAAAGAGUUAGAUAAAUAUUCUCAAUUAUACAUGCAAUGAUAGAUACUCAAUCUUAUAUUCCAUUCUAUAAUCAACAUUGAUGAUUACUAAUCCCUUCCCAGUGGUAAAAAUAUAAAUAACGAUACCUGGAAUACUUCCUGGUUAAAAUGCUACAUCGGUAUUAAUCUGUGCGCUUGCAGAUCCCAUUCAUUAUUUAUUUAGAUGAGCAAUUGCAUAUUUCAAUACCGCAUCUCUCAUGUCAUGCCGGGGAUGACAACUUGGCUUAAGUGGUAUGAGGGAUAGGUUUGGCAUUUUUGGCGCUGUUAUCAGAAUUAGAAAAACUAAGUCUACUUUUGGUAAUGACGUUAAGAAUACCCAACACCUGUAACUAGCAGAUCAAUCAGUUCGACACUUGAUAGGCAUCGCUGAAAACAUUCCAGUCAAGAUAAGAGAUUUCCUUGUGCCAGUAGACUUCAUGGUACUAGACAUGAGUCUCGACUCAAAAGUGUCCAUCAUCCUUGGAAGGCCGUUUCUGAGCACUGCCAAUGCCCACAUUGAUGUCAGGAAGGGAGAAAUCAAAUUCAACAUAAACGGACAAGAAGAACACUUCACAUUUAAGCCUAGACCAGAGAGAGACUCUAUAGUGAAGGAAGUUCAUGAAGAAGAACCACUGGAGACACCAUCUUUGGAGGGAGGUAAUUCGGAAGAUUAAAAGAUUUGGAGGUCUAGCUUGGGGGACCUAAAAAUCCCGAACCCUCGCCGGGAGGUAAAUCGGUAUUUAUCCGCAUCAUUAAUUCUCUCAUAUUUAAUUCCUGCAUUAUCCAUAUUUAUUCAUAGCAUUAUUAUAGUAAUCAAAAGCCCCAUAAAAAUAAUAUUUAUGGUGUGUAACAACCCACAUUUAUUAAUUAUUGUGGAGGCAUAAAAAUAUUUUCCAUUAUCAUUUCAGUAACUUUCAAUUCUCACGGAUUUUCCUGCAUUAUAUUUAAUUAUAGCAACCUCCUAGAAGCAAGACCCACACUUCUUGGGUCCCACAUGUCAUACACCACACCUCACAUACAUCCCAUCAUAUUAUUUGAUCCACCAACAUAACUCCACUCACCAGCACUUUUCCACCGACCAACCACCACCCAUGAAUUAUUAUUCUACGUAAGAGCCAAGCAAAGGAGGGAGUGGAGAAAAGGUAGCCAGGAUGGCCACCAAAGGUGGGCGCCCGCCCACCUACAGAGGGCACCCGCCCUGUCCCCCCUUCCUCCUAUAAAAGGCCACCUCUUGCCCCCAACUUCUUCACACAAGCAUUCCAGAAAACCACACAAGUUUCAGUUUCCAGAGAAGGAGUUCUUGUAGUGAAGUGAGAAGGAGAGUAGAGAGGAAGAGAAGGGUGGAAGAGAGGUUGGUAGUCUUUGAGUGAGAGAGUAAGGUUCACCUAGUAAGUAGUGAUCCCGCUGUCCAGAGCGGAAGUAAAAGUUGUUUAGAGGGAGGUACUGCCAAAAUAAAAACUUGUCUUGAACGACUAACCCCUGGACUACUGACAUUUCGGACAGCUGACUACUAACAUUUUUCUCUCACAUUUUCCACUAGUUGUGUUUGUGUCAACUUUUGUUUGCAGGAUGUUCAAAAAGGUAAAGAACGCAGGGAAGGCCCUCAAGAACAUAGGUACGAGGAGCUCAUCCCGACACUCCUCGCACCAGUCAAAGAUGAGCAUCGAUCCGACACCCCCACAAGCUCCGUCAUCUUCAUCUGAUCCACAAGUCAAGGUCCUCCUCAAGAUAGGAGACCUUGGACGGAAGACCCGCAAGGAGAAAGAAGUUUACCAGCAGCUAAAGAACAAGGAUUUCAUUCACACCCCCACUCUUGAUCCUAUCUUGCUACAAGAAACAGGUAUGGAUACUGAAUUCGAUUUAAUUUUCUAGAUGGUGGGAUGGACAAAUUUUUGGAACAUAACUGAGUUGGGUUCCCGUCUUCUCACCCUUGAAUUUCUUUGCACUUUACAAUAUUAUGAGGGGGGGAAUCACUUUUCAGAUGUUCAAACAGGACAUUAUGUUGUCUUGGAGAGAACUGAGUGACCAACUCGGUUUCUCUUCAAGAUGCAUCUUGGACAUUGUCUUUGACUUACCCAAUUUUGAGAGACACCAGUUCUGGAGAUAGAUAUCUGGGGAUGAGUUUUAUAGUCAAGUCCGAACCAGCGACAUGGAACACCCCACUCUUAGAAUGUUCCACAAAUGGCUUGGGUACAAUCUUUUCCAUCGUGAUGAUAUUAGAAAAGUAAGAGUAGGAGAUUUACAACUUCUAUAUGCUCCUAUAAAUAAAGUACCCACUUCACCUGUUACACUUUUGGUUUCUCAUUGGCUUAGUAUACCUAGUCUUCAGGGACCUGUAGGUUGUACUUCACUUAUCACUCGUCUAGCCUCUAAUCUUCAUUUGCUAGAAAACUCGUCAUUGGAAUUCAUAGACGAGUUAUGAAUUUAUCAUGGCUAUGACACAUUUAGGCAAGCUCGGAUGUUCAAAAAAGAGGGGAACAUAAUGUAUAUGUUAUAGGAUAAUAACGGCAGGAUUCGGUCACCUAACCUGAAACUUGGCCUCUAUGUUGUUCAAAAUUUUUUGAAUGAGAUUGCAGUGACACCGGUAAACCAGAGAGCUCCACAAUGAGUGGCAUCUGAAAGGAUGACCACCCAUCAAGAACGCACCUGGUAUGGAGCUGAUCCCGGGCCAGAAGAAGCAGCGCACCUACAUUAUUGCGACUACAACCCCCGAGUCCUUAGGGACCCAUGGGUUCGACAUGCUCAACCACAAGAGCCAACAUAGGAGACAUGGUCGGAGGGCCAAGAUCACUAGUGGACAAACCCGCCUUUUCAUACGGGUAGGUACUCCACUGAUCCAUAUGGAGCUUCAGGGUCCAGACCCCUGCCUCAAUUCGAUGCAGGAUGAUACUCCAAUGCCUCUUAUGCUUUCACAAACGACUACUACCAAGAGGCCGGCGCCUUCUUCACCCGUACCGACAACACCACAUGGACGACUCCUAGAACAGCAACAAAAGUGGAACCAGGACCACGCCACUGCAGUACAAGAACUGAGGCAAGAUACCAUGACAAUGAACGACAACAUCACCACCAUGAUGCGAUUCUGGAACAUUGGGUAAGACCGACAGCCACAUCCAGCUUGGGGGAGUUUCUCCCCGUUUUAUCAGGUAAGUUUUUAUUUGCUCUUCUUAUUUAUUCUUUUCCGUUUUAGUGUUUUAUUUAUCUUAAAGAAACAAAACUUAGAAAACACAAUAAAUAUUUUCUUGCUUUAAUUUACUGCAUUUUAUAAACAUGAAACCAAAAUAAAAAGAGUGUGUAGAUAAGUGUGCUUUAUUUUCCCUACUAAGUAUUAAUCUCUAGAAAAAUAAAAGACCAAAAAAGAAGCAUGAUGGAAAUGAUGAACAGUUGCUCUGUUUACUUAUUUUCAAGUACCUAGCUUUUAUAUUAUAGUUCUUCCAGGAAUUACUAAAACUAAAAUUUACUAUCUAUGGAAGCAUGAACCUAAAACUAAAGUCUAGGUAAGAAAAGGACAUGAUAUGAAGUUUGAGCUACUGUUUAUCUAUGGGAUGCACCUUUAUGUCUAUCUUUAAUUCUUUGAUCACGUCUUGAAAGUCUCGAAACAACUUUGAUGAUCUACUUUAUCUUUCUCUUUAGUUUCUUCAAAUCUCGGGACGAGAUUUAUGUUAAGUGGGGUAGAUCUAUAACACUCCAAAAUUUUUAAUUUUUGGAUUGUUAUUAGAAAAUACUAAAUUAAAUAAGGAGUUAAAAUUUUUGUAAAAUACUCCAAGAUUUUAUUCAUUGUUGUUAUUAUAAAAGGAGAAAAAUAUGGAAUUUUAAAACUUUUAAUAAAUUAUGUGGAGGGUGUUUUAUUUGAUGUGUGUUUUGUGCCCUAGCUUUGUUUGGCUUGUCUUAGAAAAAUGAAAUCAAAAUUUCUAGCGAGCACGUUUAGGUCCUUUUGGUUUUCAGAAAAAUAAAACUCCAAAAGUCCUAUUUGAAAACUAAUUCAAAAAAAAUCGAGUUGGAAAACAAUUUAGAAAUGUGUUUAAACUAAUAUAUAUAUUUAGAUUUCAAAAUAGUCUAAAAACAAAUUCCAUAAUAAUCCCUAAGUAUUGACUCAAAUUUAUUUUGAAAUAUGGUCUAAAAAUAGUUUGGGAGUUGGUUGACAAAAUAUUUUAGAAUUUAUGUUUCAAAAAAAAGAGAAAGAAAAAAAAGAAGCUUUCUCUCCUCUCUAGGCCGGCUCCCCCUCCCCACGGCCCACCCCGCGCCCCUGCCGCUGGCGGCCCAAGCCGCACCGCGGCCCAGACUCCUCCUGCGCCGUGCUCCCCUGCUGACGGGCCGGCCCCACGUGUCAGCGGGGAGGGUCGUCCCUAACCUCCCGCCCGCAUCACGCGGAGGAGCCCCGCUGCCGUCAAUCCGAGCGCCCGCGCGCCUCCCGAUGAUGGUCGUGGCCUAUAAAGGCCCUGCACGGGAGUCCGCGCCCCCUGGAACCCUAGCGAAGCCCCGCCGCCACGCUAGCCCUAGCCGCGAGCUGCUACCGCCGCCGCCGUUGGGUGGAGGGCCCUGCCGCCUGUUGACGGUCCUUAAGUACUAAAUUUUACCAUCAACUAAACAUGGAAAAGGAUCAAUAUGCACCAAACAUCUAGAAUUUGGGUUUUAUCUGACAGAAUUCCACGAGCUUUGGUGUUUGUCUAUUUCUGCAGGGGAUUAUCAGAAAAUAUGGAGAGAAGGCCCACAUGUCAUGUUUACAACGAGAUAAUUACGUGUCGCGCAAUUUUUCUUAAUCUAGAAGAGUCCAGAAGCCACGGGAACGAACGGGAAGCCGGACGGGCCCGGGGGCAGGACGCCCGCCCUCCCCAAUUGGGCGCCUGCCCUGGCCUCGGGGCCAAUCACAAUCAACUUCACGGAUUAUGCUCCACCGAUCUAAAGGAUCAAGGAAAACCGUGCGAUCAAUGUCGGUUUGAUCCGACGGCCCAAAUUCACUUGAAAGGACUAUAUAAAAAAGGCCUCUCCACCCCACGGGGAGAGAGGAGAAAUCAUUAUCAGAGGAAGCCAUCAAAGUUAGGGUUUAGAACUUCUCUCCCACAAAGAAUUAGAAUUAGCUACUCCCUAAUCCUUCAAGUUUUAGAGGGUUGAUUAGAUAGAAUUAGAGAAGUAGAGCAUAGCGCUCUGGAUUCGGACCUUCGUUAAUAAAGAUUAGAAUUAUUUCAUAUCUUUCUCUACUACUUUAUUCUAAUUGCAUUAUGUCUCUAUUUAUUAUGCUCUUAGUUUGUUCUAGUUCUAUAUUUGAUAUAGUUAUGAUUGAUAAUCAGUUUAUGUAUGAGUUUGCAAAGCGCCUAGCUCUUGACGUGUGGGAGUUAAGAGGUAGAUCAUAUAUGGGCGUGGUGCUUAGAUAUUAUUUACCUGCAAAUGUAUCCUAUUAGCCGGGUCGUGUGGUAGUUCGCGAUAGUGACAGCUUCGUUGAUUCUUAUAUAGUCCACCCUCCACUGAUAGGACUGGCAGAAUUUGUAUUGCAGAGUAAGUAUUGCGAUGCUCUGAUUUACUUUAGCAAUGUUCCUUAUACAUGAAUGAAGAGUCUUUUAUACUAUAUAUGAUCUCGUAGAUAACUAGAUUAGAUUGUGACUUAGUACAUAGUAGAUAACUUAGAAUCCAUUCUCUAGCUAAUCCGACGUCACCUUACAUAUAUGAGGAGUAGUCUAUUUUCUAAUCGCUGUGUUAUUUACCCAUGAGCUUAUAUUUCAUUAUCAUUAUUAUUAUGCCUUAACCCCUGCUAAAGUAAGUGACUGUGUGAUGAGAUCCUCAUUAGUAAUCAUGUUCUUGCAAGUUUAUCUCUAGUCUAUGCCUUGAUAAAUUUUAUCCUUAUCUUCAACUCCACUGUUCUCUUAAGCAAAAUUAUAAAUAACGAUACCUGAAAUACUUUCUUGGUGAAAUGCUACAAUGAGGUAUUUUAUCUGUGCGCUUGUGGAUAGAAUAGAUUAUUUUCUAGAGAGCCUUUACAUUCAUAAAUAUCUUUGUACACUCUGGCACCAUGCUAGGGAUGACAACCUAGUAUCCAAGUGGUGUUAGUAAGUCUCAAUACCGCCGUUGAAUCUCGUCGGCUGCCGCCUCCCAGACGAUGAAAACCGAUCCCCUUCGUGUCGAGAUGAGGAACUCAACGAAACUUCUCCCACCCUCUCUAUCCCUUCAUUUCGCACGAACGGGAUCGCCGGAGGAGCUCGCCGCCGCCAAGCCACCCCCACCGCGCGGCCAGCGCACCCCGGCUCCUCUUUCGCACGGGCAUCGCGCGCACCGCACUCGCCACGCUUCGCUCAUCCCACCAAUGCCUCCGCUAUGCCCCGCCGUGCCCUACAGCGCCCCCACGGUGAGCUCGCCGGAGCCAGCAAUGGCGCCGCCGCCGCGGCUCGCCCGCCUGGCCGCGCGCGCGCACCGGCGCCACCGGUCCACGGUGGACCGGUGGACCAUCGCCCGCAGCCCCGGUCCACAGCCCCCGCCGUGGACCCACCACUCAUGAGACAGCACGUGGCCAGCCCGCCCGGCCGCCCGCGCCGCUCCCUGCCCUUUUGCAAAAAGGUCCCUCAGGUUUUGUGAAAUUAACCCGCAGUGCUGAGUAGUUCAGAAAUAAUUAGAUUUAAGUCAUGUUUUUAGCAAUUUAACCACUGGCGCCAUUGGUAUUUAUAGAUUUAGUCCAAAAUGAUUUUUUAAAUUCAGUUUUGAUUUAUUUAAAAUACGAAAAAUUAGUUCUGUUUAUUCACAGUUUUGCCACUGACCUAGUUUCGGCCAUAGAAUCCACGUAUUAAUUCCGAUUGAGCCCAUUCUUGUCGCGUUAGUUUCGUAUCGUCGUAAGCUACGCCUUAGUAGUGAUAAUUACCUCAUUUGACCAUUUAGGUUUUCACCAUAAAUACAAAAUGAUUAAUGACUAACUAAAUGCCCUUUUAAUCUACAAAAGCAAUUUAUGUUUGUAACUUUGGUGUUUCAUAAACACAUUAAUAUUAUUAAUAUCAACAUAAAUGCCUUCUCAAUUGUGAUCUACUUAAUUUAAUCUCAGUUCAUAAAUGCCUUGUUUAACUUAUGUCACGAAUUCUACGCUUUCCUAAACUAUAAAUGAUAAAGUGACUUAAAUAAUUUAUUAUUAUUCAUAAAUAGAACUAGAACUAUACUUCGUCUUUUAUAAUUAUAAUUUGUUUAAUUCCACUUUAUGAUAUUUCUCUUAAACGUUUAUCAUCUUGUUUUAUCUAAUAAAAUAAUCCAAGUGUAUAGUCCGUGUUCUCCGUUAUGUUGCAAACCUCGGAAGUCGUGUCAGUUUAACGAUAGCUCUGUUCUCAAUCGUUCUUGCGUUGUCACGAUCGUAGCAAUAUGCCGUAUCAUUUAGUGCGCUCUUUCUAAUCUUUUCUUUUGAUGGUUGUUUGUUCUUAGUUGUGAUUGUUUGUUUGUCUGUUUGUGUUGCUUGGUUGCUACACGUAGAAGAAGUGUGGUUCGUCAACAGUAACGAUCAGGAGCUAAGGACCGAUGGUCGAAGCAGAAGUUCUAGAUCAUAAGAAAGAAGCUAAAGAAUUCUGAGCAGAUAUACACUAGGAAAUAAGGCAAGUGCAGGCACCCCUUGAUCAUAUUGUACCUAUGAACUUUAAAUACAUUUACUUUCCAUUGCAUGUGUUCUAAUAUUGCAAACCAUAAGGACAUGACUAGCCCUCCACUAUAUUCCUUGUACUCCUAGGUUUAUACAUGGGUAGUCUAGUGAACAGUAGAUAUGCUUAGUUGCUCUGCUCAUCUAUUCUAUAUAAUAAAUGAAAGUAAAUAAUCUUGCCUAAUGAAGUCUUCAAUGUUGAUUAAUGUUUAAAUGAUGAACAAUGGUCACUUCGGUGAUGGAGAUGUUGUGGUGCUUGUGAGCAUCAUGGUUUGUUGAGGAAAGGGGGAGUGGGUACUGUUGGUUGGUCCGGUUGCCGGGCGUACCCGUCUCUGCUCUCCGUAAGGACUUAGUCAUGGAGCGGCCCCUUAGGACAUACAGAACAGCUCCAAGCCAUAUGGCUCUGGCUUGACUAAUUAUCAGGACCUCCGCUGGUAGGGUGUUACUUUCCGGGUAGGCGUAAGGAAGUAGCUUGGGUAUUCAUAUUAAGAGGUCGGUCAGUUCGGGGUCCCAUUGCUAUGGGCACGGCUGUCGCGCGCCCAGGCAAAAACUUACAAGUGGCAUCCUAUUAGUUGGACCCUGUGAAAGAUCUCGUAGUGAAACCCUGCCUGCUCACCUUGGUAGUGUUUUGGGGAGUCGCGACCCCGGGCAAAUGGGAAUCAUGACUUGGAGUGAAAGUGCACACCUCUGCAGAGUGUAAAACUGAUAUAUCAGUCGUGCUCACGGUCAUGAGCGGCCCAGACUCUCACAUGAUGAGCAAAUUGGAAUCACAUGGAAGUUGGAGGCGAAACAUGGUUGAGGUUGCUACCUCGUGCUUUGGCGGAAAGGCUAUUCCGUGUUGGUAGGAUUGCUAUCCUGUGACCUUAAUUGGGAUUGCUAUCCCAUGACCAUAAUGGGGUUGCUACCCCGAGUUACUAUCCGAGGUUGCUACCUCGGUAAUAUUAGUAAUAAUAAUAAUUAUAAUGAUGAAUAAUAAUAUUGUUAAUAUACUCUCAUCUAAUUAAGGGUUGGGAUGCUUCACUCGUAUUUAGUAAUAGGUUGUUUUAAUAAGAGAAUUAUAAUAAAAGUUUACCAACUUAAAAGCUCACCUGCAGUUAGACAGUGUCAGCUUUUCCUUUGAUUAAGCCUUGCAUGUCAUUAUACUUUCCGCCUGUACUUGUUGAGUUCGACAUGAACUCACCUUUGCUAUAUCCCCCACACCCAGUGUGUAGUAAUGUGCUACUCAGAAGAAGGAUAGAGAUGCUAUGGAGUUUUCUAGAAGCUUAUUAGAAGUGCUUGUUGUAUGGAGCCCCCAGUCAACCGUCCUUGAGAUGAAUGAAGCCUAAGAAGUUUAGCUACUAUUUUCCGCGUACUCUGAUGUUUGUAAGUGUUAAUAUAAAUAUGUUUUCCGCUAUAUAUAACAUUGUUUAUAAUAUUUCUAGUCUUUGUUGUAUGUGUGGACUUCCUAGGCACACAUAUGACGACUCUGGUCUUAUUUUAAAAACCAGGGUGUGAUAGUUACGCCCUUCAAUGGCGAGGUGUACAUUUCUUACCAAUUAGUUAGUAGAAAUUUGAUUACCAGCAGCACUAAUACAAAAUUUGCCCUUGGCAAUAUCCACUACACUUUGCCCAUGUUUAGAUACAAAUGCUUGACUCAUAAAAGAAUGUGAAGCUCUAGAAUCAAAUAAGACAACUGCGAGGUGUUGAUUGACAAGGAACAUACCAGUUGUAACCACUUCACAUGUACGAAUUUCUUCAAUUGUGGUGUAGUGCACUCGGCCGGGAUGUACAUUGCCCCUAGCUGCAUAAUUCCUCUUUGGAUACGGGCAAUCUCUUACCCAGUGACGAACUUGCUUGCAAUUGAAGCAGGUGUUGACGGUGGAUAAGCUAUAAAAUCCACACAUGAAAACACCGUCAACAGGCUAGAAAGAGUGGAAGAAUAGCAUAGCAUAGGCAUAUUUUAUCACAAAAAGGUUCCACUUGAGCUCUAGGUAUUUAGAUGUAGGAACACUUACAUUUGGGAGAAAAUGAGCCCCUGGACCCACCAAGGCCCGGUCGGUCGACCUACACAUGGGGUGGUCCAGGUGCUGGCCCAAUUCUAGGAUUCUAAGACAACACAUCCAAGUCCAUCUCCACCCUCAGAUCACACUUGUGUUUCUGUUCAAGGGUGAAAGAUCGGGGUACAAGGAUCCAUGGACCCACUAGAAGAACCAGACCAAAGAUGGACACAAGACACAGUCCAUGACAGAUGGGGACAACAAUGGAGCAAGGCUGGUGGGUCCACGUCACCAAACCUUGGUCGACCGACUAGGCCAUGCUGGGACCCACAUGUCAGCUCCACUCCACCGACCUCCAGGACCUUCUAGAAGGCUCAGGGUGGCCCCACCUCACAAAAAGACAGGUCGACCGACCUAUGAUAUGGGGCCACCUAAGGUUGGUUACACUCCAUCGACUUUGGCAACAUGUGUAGAUGAUCUUGGACGUCCAUCUAAGGUGGUUUCAAUGACGGUUUAUCCAAGGGUGGAAAAGUGGGAAGCACACAGAUUGCUGACGUGGCACCCCCUCUACUCCACAUAUAAAUAGAGGUUGCAUCCACCCUCUUAGUAUGUGUGUUUUCAAGUUAGCUCUAGCUUUCCAAUUGUAAGUGUUAGUGUUAGUCUAGUGUGGGAGUUAGAGUUGAGUCGUGCGAAGCUCGGAGUCUCCGGAGUCGUCUUCUGGAGAGUCUGGUAUUCCUCUUUACCUUUCCUCUUGUAAGACUUUGAGUAUUUAAUAUAUUUACUUUUCCUUUACUUUUCUAAGUAUUUACUUUCAGUACUUACUUAGUGCAAUAUUAUAUUGCAGUGUCCUAGUCUAUCUUGUAGUAGUCAUAUACUAGCUAAGUUAGUCUUAAGUGCUUGGGUUGUUUUCUGUGCCGGUAACUCGGUGCUUGGACUAGGUCGUAUACUUAGUCUGAGUAGUAGGAGUUAGCAUAAGCAUAUUGAUUAGGCUAAAGACUGUCCUUGAAUACCACCAUAUGAAACGUGUUAGUGGGCGGCAGCGAAGCGUGAGAGGCCUCUGCUUCCGAGUAGGUUCUAUUCACAUCGGGUACGAUCUAUAGGUGCCCAUAAGAAACGAGGCCGCUUGGAUAGGAGUUUUAUCCUCCUAUUGCAGUCGACUUCUAAUAAACAAGCAGUUAAGUUUAGCAUUGUUAGUGUGUGUUUGCUACUAGACUAGAUUAGCCCAUAGGAGUAAAGUUAGAGUCAUAGGAGUCUUUUCUCACUCGUUGUCCUCCCACCUAGCUACACUAAACUAGUUAUCUUAGAGUUACCCAGAACCACAUCAACCUUCCUCUACGUCUUCAUUACCUCACUACCUUGGUCGAUCCUAGCUGAGAUAGGAUUUCCCUUCCUUGCUAUCUCUUCUACCACGCUUUCCCUUGGACGAACUAUAAAUUACGACACUACGGAUACUCACCACGGUUGAAGUGCUACAUCGGUAUCUGUGUGCAUGCAGAGUUACCCCUAGUACAUCUUGCGUCAUCGCUAGAGUCUAGUGUUGCUUAGCAUUUCUGGAGCCGUUGCUCAGGGUAGCCUGACACCCUAUCCUAGUAACAGCUCAGGCUUGCAUUUAAGUAGUGCUGGUUAGGCACCACCAUUUCUAGAUACUUGUCACUUCUUACUGUAGCCGGUGUGAGUUAAUAUUUGCCAACAAGCAUUUCUGGCGCCGUUGCCGAAGAAAGCAUUGCCUAGAAAUUUGUAGCAGGAACGAAUCUGGUAAAACAUCAUCAACUUAAGAUCAACUUGUUGUAGGCAGUUACCCCUGCUUGUGUUUCUCUUCAUUGUGAAACCAGGUAUUGUAUGAGUGAUUUCCAGUUCAAGGCAACCACAUUAGCCGAUUCAGAGAGAUCUCGAAGGAAUUCUAGACUUCGUCUAGUCCACCAUCAAAGAUCCAGCUCACACCAGAACUCACUCAAGGAAGGAGGCUUAGCACCAAGAAUCAGGAUGUCAAUGGUCAACCAACCCAUCACCGACUUCUCAUCUCCCUCUGCGACCCAUAUCUCAUUGGGACCGCAAGUGGAGAUUGGAGAUAUCGACUUUGAGAUCCAGCCAUCGCUAAUCUGUCUGGUGCAAGCUAGUACAUUCAGUGGGAAACCACACGAGGAUGCAAACACACACCUUCAGAACUUUCUGGAAGUGUGUAGCACCAUCGCUAUCAAGGGAGUCAUAGCGGGAGCCAUCCACCGUCGCUUAUUCCCAUUCACUAUGCUUGGGAAAGCAUAGCAAUGGUUCUAUGCUCUCCCUGAUGAUGUUGACACAUGGAACAAGUGUGCUACAACAUUCCUCAACAAGUUCUUCCCAAUGAGGAAAACAUCUGCUUUGUGGGCAGGAAUCUCUAGCUUCCAUCAAAAGGCAGAAGAGACCAUUCCCGAAGCAAGGGAACGUCUCCAGGAGUACAUUUGGGAAUGCCCUCAUCAUGGAAUCAAGGAAUGGCUCCUGAUCCAAGGUUUCUACCAUGGGCUAAGACCACACAUUCGUAGUCACCUUGAUGCUGCUGCAAGAUGAUCAUUCACAUCCCUCAAUGUCGCAGAAGCAAAGAAGCUCAUUGAGAACAUUGUGACAAAUCAAGAGUGGAAUGAUCAACGUCCUAAACCCAAGAAGAGAGGCUCCCACACCAUUGAGGAGGUGAACGCCAUCUCUCAAAAGAUGGAGCUCUUGAUAAAGAAAAUAGAAGAAACAUCCAACUUCAAGAAAGAUCGAGAGGCCAUCCAAUGAUACACCUCAGCACGUGCCAUUGAAGCAAUCCAAAGGUGCGAGGUGCAGGAAGAAGCUCCAGAGGUCGUCUCCGCAUUUGACAAUAGGCAACCACGACAAAGCGGACCGACUCCACGCUUCCAAGGCCAAGGAAAUUUAAAAAAAUCUAGCUGGCCUACCCUUAGACAUCUUGUUGUUAAUCAAGCUAAAAUUAAUGAAGGCACAAAUAAAAGAUUGUUAGCUAACGACAAGACUCUUGAAUUAUUAAUGUCUAAAAUGGACUCUCUAGCUUCUGCUGUUAAGGAUCAAUAGAACUUGAACAAGGUCUUAGAGUCCUGGAUGACUCAAAUUACUGCUUCUGUUAAUUCUUGUUACUCCUCAAAUGCGGUGGGCACAAGAGGCGGUAAGACCACUCAUGAUCCACCAUAUCGUAACAUGACAAGGAAACCGGCAAGGAAGGACAAGCAGGAUGAAGAAGACAAGGUAGAAGAAGUAGAGCUUCCAUCAACAGAAGAAAGUACCAAGUUCAAUGGGAAAGUGGCACCACAUGAGUUCUACGACACAAACCUACUGAUGCCAUUCCCCAGGACGAGGACUCAAAAGACCGAUGAACAAUUCAGAAAAUUCAUUAAGGUAAUUCGACAAUUAUAUGUCAAUAUUCCGUUACUUGAUGCAAUGCAGGGUCCAACCUACGCCAAGUACCUGAGAGACAUCCUCAACAAGAAGAAGCCGCUGCCUAAAACCUAGGUAACUAAACUAACUGAAGAAUGCAGCGAAGUCAUCUUGAAUAAAUUCCCAAAGAAGAAGAAGGACCCCGGGUGCCCCACCAUUGAUUGCUCCAUCGGGGCAUAGCAUUUUGAGCAUGCACGGUGUGACUUGGGAGCAAGCGUCAGUGUUACGCCAAACGUAAUUUAUGACAAAUUAAAUCAUACUACCUUGUCCCGACAUCAAUAUAUUUGCAGCUAGCAGAUCAGUCGAUUUGCCAUCCAGCGGGAGUAGCUGAGAACAUCCCUGUCAAGAUACGUGAUUUCCUCAUUCUUGUGGAUUUCGUAGUUCUUGACAUGGAAGUUGACAAGAAGGUCCCCCUCAUCCUUGGGAGACCAUUCCUCAGCACUGCCAAGGCACAUAUUGAUGUUGGAGCCAGAGAAAUUCAAUUCACCAUCAUUGGGUCCCAAGAGAAAUUCAACUUCAAGCCAAAAGUUGAGUAGUGCUCAAUGAUCUUGGCUACAGAGCUGGCUACAAUUAUUGCCCUGACGCACACCAAAAAGAAGGCUAAAUCAAAACCACGGGCAAAACCCAAGCAAAGUUGGAAGAGAAAAAUAGUGCCUCCACCCAAGAAGGCCUCUACAGCACCUCAGGGAGGUUCUGAUUGAAAGGACCUGAGGCAACUGCUCUUCCAUCCAGGUAAGUCAACCAAGGUGAGUUUUCAAACUUUUAAAAUUCAGCAUUUAUUCUCAGCAUUUAAUUAUUAGUUUUUCUUUAUUUAAAACAUUUUUCUGUCGACCACAGUUGUGCAUAACAAAACUUAAAAUCAACAUUUGCUUAACAUGCUGAGCAAAUGUACACCAGGUGGGACCCAAGGCCAGGUUGGCCGACCUGACCUUGGUGGGUCCACCUGCUCAAUUUUGCUCCAUCAUCACACAAUCCCAUGUCUGUGCCAAAGUGAAAAUUGAAUUUUAUGACAUGAAUUGCUUCACAUGCCUACUAGAGAAUCUAGAUGAAGCUAGCUUGGUAACUUUUGUGACUCUAAGCAAAGAAGUUUUACUACACAAUGCAUGAGUGUUCUAUUUGAGUGCCACCAGACCCGGGGGAGGCCAAAUCAUGGUUGACCGACCAUGAUAUUGAGCCCACCUCCCUCCAGCUCCUCGUAUUUGUGAUCUUAUGGCUGUAGGAUGAGUGUUGCAAGAAUGUAAGACAGGUGGUUGUCAAUUUAAAUUCCUAGGAAUUAGUGGCUCUCCCUCACCUUCUUGCUUAGGAAAAUAGAAUUAACAAAAUGGCCAUAAGCAAUCCAAGGGAGUAGAGGAAAAUUUUCAUGACAAUCCUUCUCCCUAACCUCACUUAUGCCCCAAUCUACCAUUCAUUUUGGCUAAGCAAGCUUAUUUAGCACUAAGCUAAUCACAAAGGAUGAGGAGAAUUCUCCCGUGAGAACUCAUGACACAAAAUGCCACCAAUCCUAGUCUUGUCUUGCCCCCUCUCUUUUGCUUUCUUUCCUUUCAUCACUUCACCCAAGAAAGGGAGAUGCCAUUCACCACCAUCCAAAGCAUGUUAUGCAUGCACCCAACAUGGAAUGACCUCCACUCACUCUCAUCUUUGGCACAAAGCGAAAGGGAGAAGAAAGAGGGGUCGGUCGACCCAUGAUGAAGGACACCAUCACAUGCAUUGUGACCCAUCUCUUAUUGCUUUGGUCCUAGUGAAUGCAAAGUUUAAAAAUGUGGAGAUAGACCGGUCGGCUGACCAUGCUCUUGUGCACCUAGUACACCCACUUGCUUGCAUUGGAUUCCAGAAGAUAGGUGCCACGGCCACACAACAAACCUACCCAGAAGUGAAGGUCGACCGACCUCUAUAAAUACACACAAGCACUUGCACUUACUCUCACCUUCAUCCAAACACACUCACUCUCUUGUGCACUCAACCAACCAGCAAGAAAUCUAUUGUCUUCUCCAUUUCUUAACCACCCUUCUUUCCAAAACAAAAAUCCAAAAAACAUUUUCUUUUUAUCCUUACCAUCGAGUUCAUCAUCAUGAAGAAAGUCAGGGGUUGGGGGAACUCGGUGCUCCAUCGAAUUUUCUUUAGCUCUAGUGACUCCUCUAUGCAAGAUGCCCAGAGUCAAGCAUCAACGGAGCAAGUAUCAUCUCCACCACCUCAAGUUAAUGAAUAAGCCGUCCCCGAGAGAAUUCAAGAUGUGGAAACCGGCAUAUGGCUCACUCCCGCUGAGAUGGAGAAGCUUGAGGAACUCCGCAACCGUGAAUUUAUUCACACCAAGGUGAUAUCUCUUGACUUUCUCCAAAGCAUGGGCUUAGAUGAUGAAUUCACAGAAGUUUUUGAGAAAAUGGGGUGGGAUGAAUUUUGGGAUUUGUCUAAUGUAAAAGGAAGUAAAAUUCUCACCCUAGAAUUUUUAAGCACCCUAAGAAUAACAUUAGAGAAAAUUUAUUUUAGAGUGCUUAAUAAUGAGUUUGACCUCCCAUGGGAUGUUUUCUCUACAUGUCUUGGUUUUGAUAAUCCCAACAUUAAAAUGGAAAAUGUCACUAAGCAUAUGAACAAGAAAGAAUUUUGGUAUGAAAUCACUAGGGAAAAUUAUGAGGGAUGGCAACCACGUAAUAGUCACAUAUGCAAUCCUACCUUGCUUUUCUUGCACCAGUGGAUAGGACACACUUUGUUCCCUCGAGAUGACAUAAGAAUUGUCGGGGAAAUUGACACUAGGAUCCUUUUUGCCAUGCUUCAUAAAAUUCAAAUUUCACUAGUGGUAGAAAUGGCUAAACAUUGGAUACGGGCAUCAUCCCAACCAAGGAGGUGGGCCAUUGAAUUUACUUCUGUGAUUACAAAAUUUUGUGCAUACCAAAAUCAGCUCAAUAACUUUGAUAGAUACAUAAUUACUUCUAGAGUUGUCUUGCACAAAAGAUUUUACAUUCAAGGCCAAUAUCUUAAGGGAGGAGCAAAUAACUCAGUAUUUUUAAAAGUUUAUAAUACCCAUGAAACAAGUUUGUUGCCUUGUGAAGAACUAAAAAUAUAUAAUGGCAACCCACUACUCCCUAUGUGCAAAAGACAUAUGAGGCAUGCAGGACCAACCACACGUGCAAUAGCACGAGCUGCAGGUGAUGAUGAUGACAGUGACUAUGAGUGAAGUUUUAGUGGGAUGCAGACGUCCCAGUCGGGACGCAGGUCUGGUGGCCACAGUGGCCAUAUGUCUUGUUCUUCUUUGCAGGAUUCACAGCCCCGUGCUCAACGCAUUGACAUGGACAUGCUGACCUAACAAAUUGAUGUGCUGCGCAUUGGACAUGAGGCCGUGAAAAACACUGCAACUCAAAACCAGCAAGCCCUCCUAGACCUCCAAGUCCAACAAAACAUAGGCUGGAACUGGAUGUAUACACACCAUCAGAGGCCACUACCACCAAAUAUUCCAGUCAUUCCUAUGCCACCACAGCGGCAGCAAGACUCAUCUCCACAGUAUCCUCCACCAUAUCCUCAACAGCCCUCAUAUCCUCCACCAUAUCCUCAGCAGCCCUCAUAUCCUCCACCAUAUCCGUAUAACUAUCCACCAUAUGAGUGAGGAGGCAUGAGAAGAGACAAGCUUGGGGGAGAUCCCCUCGCCCACCAAGGUAAGCAUUAUGUCCGCUUUUAAAAUUUAUUGCAAUUUUAGUUGUUCUAUGUUUCAUGCCAACAAAAAAAUAAUAAUAAAAAUAAAAUUUGCCAUCCAUGCCAUCUUUCUCUUGGAAAUGAUGAAUAGUUGCUCUGUUAAUGUUUCUCUAGUAUCUAGCACUCAACUUAGUAUUUUUCUAAGAAUAGAUCACUUGGCUCACAUAAGACAACCAUGAACCUGAUUUAUUUAUGUAGGUUGCAAGUGCUAAAACUAUGUCUAAGUUGUUGUGAGAUAUGAGAUAGUAAGACAACAGCUGCUAUAUUUUUAUUCUAAGCUUGCAUGAUUAUCGGAGAAUUUAUUUGGAAAAUAUCUAAAAACAAUGGUUCCUCAAUGAUUAUAAAAUUCCUACCAAGGCCAAAUAUUUAUGCUCCAUAGAUAUAUACAUACUUUCGCCAUAGCUGCUUGCAAUUGUUGGGGUUUUGUCAAGGAUUGAACUUAACUUAGAUUGGAGUCAUGUUUAGAUUGAGAAACACUUUGCACCCACCAAAUAAAUCCAAUUCUUACACUGAGGAUUGCGCGCAACAUGCACCCUUCCAUCCACCAGAAAAAAAUGCUCUUCUCCUAUACUAGGAGAAAGCAACAAAAUUUUUGCUAGGAAAAUACUCCAUCCAUUUUUUCAAAUUGAUCUUUCUCUCAGUAUCCUUUUUAGAUAGACAUGGCCAAAAAAAUGGGGCGCACCGUUGUCAAAAGUCCCCAAAUGUUUGGUACAAGGAAAAGUUGGUAGCCAUGUCUCAAAAUAUUCUAAAAGAGAAAGAUCAUGCCAUAAAAGGAGUAUAGUUUAGUGAUAGGAUCCAUUCCACACAUUUGCACGUCUCAGUCUAGCAUAUGCCUUUGAUCUUAACUUAGUUUGGUUUUGAUCUAUCCCCAUACAAGAAGCAAGUAUGCCCACCUUCCACACCUACUGAAACUCCACAUAAAGCCUUAGCUAUAGGUUGUGAGAAAAGCAAUGCCAUUGGUAAGGUACAUUAUCCACUUGAGAGAUUGAGAUAAAUUAAUUGAGGAACCUGGUUUUCUUGUGGAAAAUUUGAAAAACCUCCGGUAUGAAACUCGCUAAGAAUAAGAAAGUGGUGCUCUAUAUCUAACUAUUCUGUCUCUCAAGCGCCCAAGACAAAGUAAUAGCCAAAAAGCCCCAUGAAGAACUAAGGUAAAUGGGUAAGUCUUCAUAGCUAAAUUUUCCAUACUUAUGAGAAAUAAUUUGUUGCGUACAUGGUACUCUUGAAAUGUUGACAUUGCAGCAACUCCUGAUCCACCAAGACUAAGGUUAAUUGUUUGCUCGGGACGAGCAAAGGUUAAGCUUAAGGGAUCUUGUUGACGGUGGAUAAGCUAUAAAAUCCACACAUGAAAACACCGUCAAUAGGCCAGAAAUAGUGGAAGAAUGGCAUAACAUAGGCAUAUUUUAUCACUAAGAGGUUCCCCUUGUGCUCUAAGUAUUUGGAUGCAGGAACACUUACAUUUGGCAGAAAAUGAGCUCCUAGACCCACUAAGGCCCGGUCGGCCGACCUACACUUGCGUGGUCCAGGUGCUGGCUCAAUUCCAAAAUCCUAAGACAACACAUCCAAGUCCAUCUCCAGCCUCACUACUAGUUUUUGACCCUAAUGCACCAGACAAUUUUUGAUGCUAUAGGCCUAAAAUAGAUGCGAUAGCUAUGUAUGGCAUCAAUGUGUCGGUUGAUGCAAGCCGAUGCAAUAUAUCCCGAUGCAAUAGCCUAUCACAUUGGCUCCUUGCAGUUGAUGCAACAAGCAGCAAUUGCAUCGGUCAUCCGUUGUGCAUCGGUCAUCCGUUGCCUGUUGCAUCAAAAUUGGGCCAGUGCAAUAGUUUAUUGCAUCGAUGUCAUGUUGAUGCAAUACAUCUAUUGCAACAGCUGACUUGUGGUGCAAUAAACUCUAUCGCAUCAAUAUUUGGUUCGAUCUAAUAUUAAAGAUCGCAUCGACAUGUGGUUGGAUGCAACACAAAGUAUUGCAUCGACAUGUGGUUCGAUGAAAUAUUGAAGAUCGCAUCGACAUGUGGUUCGAUGCAACACAAAGUAUUGCAUCGACAUGUGGUUUGAUGCAAUAGAAACUAUCGCAUCGAUAUGAGGUUUGAUGCAAAUACAAUAUAUUGUAUCGACAUGAGGUUCGAUGCAAAUACAAUAUAUUGCAUCGACAUGAGGUUCGAUGCAAAUACAAUAUAUUGCACCAACAUGAGUUUGGAUGCACAAUCAAAUAUCGCACUGAUAUUUAUGGCAAUACAAUGAAUUUAGUGCACAUUCAUAAUAUUUCAUAAUUCAAUGGGACACAAAGACAAUCAUAUUCGUAUCUUGGAUCAUCAUCAUUCAAUUUGCACAUUAUAAGGAAGUCAAAGGCCUUCGUAUUACAUAAAACAUAAAUAAUGGUCUGAUCUACACAAGGUAGAAAAAGAAAAUCAUAAACACAAAACAUGUCUCUUAGCACUGAUCUACAUGACAUCUUUCUCGUUGCACAAUGUUUGAUCCAAUUGAGCUUGCCAAGACUCCUUGUCGAUGAUCGUCCUGAAAAAGGCAAAAUGAUAUGCAUUAGUAAUACUAGCAGUGAUCGAACAAACAACCAACAGCAGCAACCCUGCUUCUCAUUUUUUUUGAGGAAGAAAUGCUUAUGCAAAAAAUAUGAAAAUUUUACAGAAGAUAGGAAAUAAUUAUCUACAACUAUUGUACGAAACAUUCUAGCAUUUGAGAAAUCUAAGACAGCACUAACAACAUAUGAAUGUAAUGGAACUUUCCUGUUAGCUGAAACAGGACAGUAGAUUUGUAAAAUUCAUAACAGAAUUUGUGCUCACUCAAAAAAUGUAAUUUAGUGAAGUCAUGAUUUUCAUCACAGUAUAUAUUCUAAAAGAGAUUACGUCUAUAACUGUCAUGAUUUUCAUCACUAUAAAACAACAAUCUUUAAAAGAUCCAGUUUCUCUCAAACUACAGAGGCUAUGACAGUGGUCUUGGUGACAAAAGAAAGGUGUUGAAGUCCUCUACAAAUUUGUCAACAGUGGUAAAAAUUAUUGAGGCCAUUAAGAUGCCCUGGAAGUUAAUAGAUCUAAAACUGUAUAGAAUUUUGGCAGCGCAACAACAUUGUGAACCAAUGAUCAUAUCUCCCAAACUAUAAGGUUUAUAACCAUGAACUUUUCGCCAAAACAAAGAUACCAAAGCAUAGUACUUAAAUAUAAUUGCAUCUUAAAGUGAUAUUUGCAGCUCUUACCUUUCCUCAUCUCUUUUUCGUUUGUCGCUUUUUAGCUACAGCAUUAUUCCUCAAUGUUUGAGGUGUAAUAAAUUUGACCAACUCAUUAAUCCCUUUGUCACAAGGAGCAACUGAUUUGUUGGCAUUACUGCGAGUGAGGCGACUAUUUUGGAUAGUGAACUGUUUGCUCACUAAUUCAGCUUGUGGUACAUUCUGAAAAAAACAAAAGAUUUGAAAGAGCAAUCACCAGUUAUCAAAACUAAGAAACCGUUGAACUAGAGGUGUUAUUGUGAAGUUUAUUACCUGUUGCACAUGUUCUACAUCUUGGCUGGGAGUUUGAUCAACAGAAAGUCCAUUGGAAUGCUCAUCUUGUGUGGGCAGGUCAGAUUUUGUACCAGCCUGCAUUAUUUUUUUAAAAAAGGAUGCACACAUGACCAUCUUAGAUGAAAUCUAGGCAUCCAUUGCAUCGCAGAUUACAUUUUCCAAAAGUAAUACCUGUGCUAAAUCUGCAACUACAUUUGCACUAACCAUAUUCUCAAUACCAGUUGCAUUAGUAGUGAUUUCAGCAACUUGAGUGGUUGUUUGUGUAGGCUGAGGCACCGUUGUGCUUGGUGCAGCAUCCUUGCAAUGGAUUUAUAAGGACAAAUAUUAGCACUCAACCAAUGUUAAAAUACAUGAUGUUGCUAACAAUUAAGAAGUAGUAUUAUUACCAAAUGGGUUGCUUCAUUGUGUUGUUUGAACAGUGAAAACAUCUCUUGCCUUAGUUCUUCUCUAAUCUUGUUACUUGUACUCUCCAGUUGUUGUUCUAGCUGUUUAAUUUUUUCCUUGUCGCUUUCCCUCUCAGCGUCUUGAACGGUAAGCUGUUCUUUAAACUGGUCUACCUCAACUUUCAUCUCAUUAUUCUUCUAUUGGGCUGCUGCUGCUAAUGCAGUUGCCCGAGCUUGCUCUUCAAUCAUAAUUUGGCUUUGGGUCGGAUACUUUUCCAGGUAUCCAUGUCCAGGAACUUUCCUGCUCUUGCAUCUAUUGGUUUCCUUGUAGGUUUCACGAAGAAUGUUCCUUUCUUGUUCUUUUGAUACCACAGAACCUUCCAACUCAAUUCUCUCUGCAAUUUUGGAGAAGGCGCUUUCCUAUUUGAGCAAAUAAAAUCAAGAGGUUACUGAUGAUCAUCAUUUGCAGCUUUAAGUGUGAUAAUAGCAAGAAUAAAAUAUUGUAUGCAACAAACAUGAGAUGUGAUACAAAUUUCAUAAGCAUGCAGCUGGUAGAUGUGGUGUGUGAUGCUCGCUACUCAGGUGUCAUACAAAUUUCAUAAGAUGAUUUACAUAUCAGAUCCACAGUACAUAUAUGAAAUUGACAUAUGAGAUCCAUUGGAAAGCAAAAUACAUAUGAAACUCAGUAAUUCAAAAAGUAUGGUUCUAGACUUUUUGGAAUGCCCAUCAAAUUGUGAUCUUCACAUUAUGGAACCUAUGGAAGGAGAGAAAUAGAAGAAUUUUCAACAACACUCAUGAAUCGGCAUUGCAAGUGGCGUCAAGAGUCAAAGAGGAUAUUUCAACAAAGGAAGAGGGCAUUAGCUGCGAGGAGAUAAUCUACAAAGCUGUAAUUGUUUCCCUCUCCACCUAUAUAUAAACUUGUAUUUCCUCUCUUAAUUGAAAGGCAAAGCUCCUGCCAUUACGUUCAAAAUAAUUCUGAUAUUUAGCUUUUUGGAAAGCUUAACAAAAGUACUAGAAAUCAUUCAACAUCACCAAGGCAUUAUUCAAGGCUUAAUUAAGUCAAACAAUUCAAACAUCAAGAUCUAUUCAGAAUGGGAAUAAGAUAUCACAGUGCAUUUUUAUUUUUAUAACUGUUAAACUAUGAAUCCUAAAAUCCUAAUAUAAUUACCACUUAUCUAUCAUCACAUCAGUAGCUCGCCAUACAAAUCUAGAGUAUUAAUGAGGAAAGUAGUGCUUACAUAUAUUUCCUUAGCAGCAUCUGAAGACCAUCGGCCUUCCUUGCUGCGUGUGCUCCUCUGUUGACGGUCAUUAAUGCUCACAUUUAACCAUUAAUUAAUCAUGGAAAAGGAUCAAAAUGCAACCAACACCUAGACUUAGGGUUUUAUCUGAUAGAAUUCCAUGAGUUUUGGUGUUUGUCUAUUUCUGCAGGGGUUUAUCUGGAAAUACGGUGGAAAGGCCCACACGUCGUGUUUACAUAGAGAUAUUAACGUGCCGCACAAUUUUCUAUCAUCUAGAAGACUCCAGAAGCCACGGGACCGAAGCGGAGGCCGAGAGGACUCAGGGACAGGGCGCCCGGCCUCCUCUCCUGGGCGCCCGCCCUCAUACAGAGUCCAAUCAGGACUCUCUUUCGAGAUAUUGCUCCACCGACCUAAAGGAUCAAGGAUAACCGUUCAAUCAAUGUCGGUUUGAUCCAACGGCCCAGAUUCACUUGAAGGGACUAUAAAACCAGACCCCCUGGCCCCUAGAGAUCAUACCUCUUCUACGGAAUCAAAGUUAGGGUUUCAAUUCUUUAUCCAAGUAGAGAGGAUCCCUCUAGUUCAUCUAGUUCUAGUUCUAGUUCAUCUAGUUCUAGUUCAUCUAGUUCUAGUUCUAGUUAGUUCUAGUUGUAAUCUAGAAAAUAGGGAGAGAGAUGAGGAGAGCGGAGGAGGAGCCGGAUCUGUCGGAUCUUCCUCAACAUUAUACUUUUGCAGCAUCUGAUUCAUUCUUCAUCGUUCUCUAAGUUCUUCAAUUCAUAAUUCCUGAGUUAUUUAAUUACUUUUAUUUACAUUCAAGUUAUUUAUUGGAUUCCCUCUUGCAUCAAGUGCUCUAGUCUUUAUAACGCUAGAGUAGUAAUUAAUAGAUUAGACGUGGUGUUUAGUCUUGCAAUUACCUGUUAUUGCACUCAAUCCUGCGGAUUAUUGUGGUAGCCCUAGGGUAGUGACAGCCCUAACGGUUGACGUAUUCCACCUCGUUCGGAUCGGUGUUUGUUGGACCGUAGUCAGAGGUUCCUAGCCCCCUUCUCAUCUCUUUCUGUGGUUAGUGUUCUGAUGUCCCGAAAUAGAUAAUCUUGAAGUAAUUCUUGAUUCUUAGAUCAACUAGAGAACUCUCAGGAAACUUCCUCGCUUCCCACCAAAAAUAAUUAUAUAGUUAUCCUUGGGCGAUCUUGAUUCUUAAUUAGUACACUCACGUUCUCUGUGGAAAAUCAAUACUCUAGAAUACUCCCGGGUGAAAGCUACAUCGGUAUUUGUGCGCUUGCGGAUUUUUCUGUUUGCGUUUAAAAUACCCAACAAGCUUUCUGGCGCUGUUGCUGGGGAACGGUAGCUGUGCUAGUUUCGAACCAAGUCGUCCGUGUAUCCUUUUUCUUUUCCUUUUUUACCACACUCACCUUACCAUUUUCACCACACCACAUGGAUUUCACUCCAAGCAUUAAUGAGCAUGGAAUUUAUUUCAUAGCCACGUCGUUUACUCCAUGCUCAUAUGCAACAUCUUCCCAAUCUUUUGGUUUUUCCAACACCACCACAUUCGAGAUCUCCAACCCCCUCAUCCUUUCUAUUUAUAAAAACUUUAAAAGGGCGGUUGUCGAUGCAUAUGUUUAUAAUAAAUUUUGCAGAUCUCGUUGAGUUGAUUUUGAUAUAGGUCAGCGUUGGAGGGGAAACCACUUCGCCGACAUAAAUUGAUGGUUUCCCAAGGACAAGCUUAGUGUCCUAAAAUAAGCACUGAUCAGACUGUAACAUGAGCUUUUAAUUAUUUGCAACAUUACCUUGUGUGUUGAGCAUAUAAGAAUAAUUGUAAAAAUAUUCCUUUGGAUAUUCUUGUCACUAACCUUUCUAGGAUUGGAGCAAGAAGAUCGGAUGAAUGACAAGCACAAGGUAUGUCCAACCAAUCAUCAUACAACAAUGAAUUAAAUUCAUCCAAACUUGAAUUUUGCAAAAUUCAAACUUGGGAGAGACUUUACGUGAAACAUCCUUUGCCAUGUUGCUAUGUUGGUUGUCCCUACCUUUGAGACAUGCUCAAUUUGUUAAAUACUAAUCACACUACUUCAUCUCCACUUGAGUAGAACUCUAUAAAUGCUCUCAUGCUACCUUUAUUUGCUUUAGUAUAUGUCUAGGUUUGGAGUUGUUUCAUUUAUCUCUUAAUUAAGCAUGGUGCUUAGUUUAGGGCUGAUGAUCUUACUUCCAAGGGAGUUUAAAUUAAGCAUGAUGCUUAGGUUAAAAUGCCCUCCUAAAUCAAAUUAGACAUGGUGUCUAGGUUGAUAUUUGAGCCGAUAGUAUGCUAUAGUAGAUAUUGGAUAUUUUGUUGGACUAACCCCUGGAGGAAAACUUUCAAUAUCGACCUGGGAAGUCCUGAGACAAACUCACAUUGGAGAUAAAGAGAGAGGCACAUGAAGUUUAACAAUUUACACAAGGAAGGCAUAGCUCACAAGAGAUGAUCCCUGGAGGGUGCCACAAACACGAUGCACAACCGCUAAGAGAGGAAAGCUUCCACAAGGUGAUACUGUACCAUCACUCUUCAAGUAAGGUAACAUCUUAAGGUACUUGACUAUCACUUUUAUAAGCUUCUCCUUAUUUCUGGCAUUCACAUUAAUAAAAGAGACAAACAUGUAUGAUCUACAACUCUAGAUUAACCAAACCAAUCGAUUCAAUAUGUUUAGUCCUUCCACCGUUGCGAUCCCACACUCCUAAUCAUAUGAGCUAAAAUGUUGCACAUGCAAUCUUUGGAAGAUAUAUAUAAAAAACAACAUAAGUAUAGAUAGAUUAUCUUUCCAUUAGGUUGAGUGAUCUGAUCUGACAAAUGUUUUAAAUGUUACACUCAUGGUCUUAUUAUCCAUCAACUUUGUCUUGCUCACUAUGCUUAAGGUUAGAGAGAACAAAUACACUUUUGGUUCUGUUGGUGUUUUCCACCAACAGGGCCCAUACACUUGAUCUCUGCCUUGUCUCUAUGAGCAGGUACACUUCAAGCAAAAUAUGAAGGAGUUUUACAACUCCUAGACUCCACCAAGUGAAGAACCUAGAUCUACGAGCACAAACACACUGGAGAUACUGGACACUAAGGCAAUCACUGCCCUGAGAUGCUUAAGGACGUUACUACUGGAGUAACCUCGUUGUGGAAGUAAUUACUGACCUUCUGCCAGUCAAGAGAGACAAUCUAGGACGCCCCAUCAUCCCGAUCUCCAUCGGCAUGCUUGCAGAUCGUACGCUAAGUUUCCCAAAGAGAAUAUUGAAGAACCUCUACGUCUGAGUUGGUACCUUAUACGCUCCAGCAGACUUCGUGGUGAUAGAGACUGAUACUGAUGAGAGGGCACCCAUCAUCUUAGGGAGGCCAUUUCUAAACACCUCAGGAGCUAUCAUCUACGCUAGUGCUGCCAAGAUCAGUUUCUACAUCAAGGGGAGGAAGGAGAUGUUUUCCUUCAAGAACAAGACACACAAAUCUCAGAGCAAUCCUGACAUGAACCAAGGAAUAGGACCAACAGGAGGAACAGAAACAAGCAAAUGUGGACCGAGUCAGCUAAAAUGGUCACUGCAAUUCAAGGAGGUCAAGACCAUCAACUCAAGUCGCCUUUCUUGAUCAAGAAGGAUGACCCUGGUGUUCCAAGCAUCGAGUGCACAAUCAACGGAUAUUCCUUUCAGAAGACACUCUACGACACUGGAUCUGACGUCAACAUAAUGGUCGCAGUCACCUAUCAACUCCUGUUCGGAACCAUGCCCCUAAAACCGACAUACAUUCAACUCCAGAUGGCAGAUCAGACAUUCCGAAAGGUUAUUGACAUGAGAGAAGACGAGUACAAUCCACCCAUCAUCCUUGGAAGACCGUUCCUCAGCACUGUUAAAGCAAUCAUCUACAUUGGAACCGGAGAAGUCCACAUGCAUUUCCCCUCUGAUAAGGUACGCCCCUAUUUUACUGACCCUAACUAUAUAGUUGAAGACUUUAAGCAAGUCAGGACAAGAAGAAGACGACACAACCGUAACCAGAGGAGGCAAAUCAUUAAGGACGGAUGGGCAGACUAUGAAGGAGAAGUCGUAAGGUCUGAAGACAUACAGCUUGAACAGAACUGUCCUGAGGAGACCGUAGCACCGAGUCAGGUGUGCAGAAAGAAGAUAGUUAUACACAAAGAGCAGGCUCUGCCGGAACCACCGACUAUGCCAUUCAGCAAAUCCCAGGACGACUGAGAAAACGGAGGGUCCCGUUCGGAGGACUUAAAAACACUGAACGCCUUGCCAAGAGGUAAACUUGGUAGUUAUCUUUUUCCUUUCAAUUAUUUUAAAAUAGUUUGCUUAGUUAAUCAGGUUCACAUCAUCUUGAAAAGAAAAUAAAAAUAUUAAGCCCCAUGUGGUUAUGCUCAUGGCAUAAAACCCAUAAGUACAUUCACUGUGGUGGCGUAAAAAUAAAAUAACUAUAUUCCUAUCCUAUAAAAAUAAAAUUAUAAAAAUAGAUUUAUGAUCCCACUAAAAAGAGUAAUAUUUAUUGAGGAGACUCAACAUGAUAAAGGCUAGAUAUUUAUGCUAACACUUAACUAGUUCCACAAGCUUUGUUGUCUAUUUGAGCUCCACAAAAUUCAAGGAUCAAAGAAGACUAGCAGACGGAGGACAUCCUAGUCGCCGUCACGGUGCUGCUGACAUUCAAAUAUACCUUCGCCAUCUGCUAGCUACAUCAGAAGGAAUUACGUCAAAAUCCAGCUUGGGGGAGAGCACCUCCAUUUAUCCAGCUAAGUAUUCUACUCACGUUUAUAUUUUACUCAAAUAAUAAAAAGAUGCAUAAUCGUAAAAACCCAAAUAAAGAUUUUGUGCUUAUAUAUAUAUCUUUGCUUAGUUUGCUAAAUAAAUAAAUAAAUAAAAUUUGCUAUGAACCCUCAUGAUGAGCUCUCACAUGGAAAGAUGAAUAGUUGCUCUGCCAUGACUAGUUCUCAAAAUUGAAAUCUCUCUCAAGUUUAGGCAUCACUGUUAUUAAUUAAGAUUUGCUCUAAACCUGAACUUGUGGGAAGAGUACUUGAUCUGAAGUCUAAGUCGUUAACGGAUAUGAUAUGGGAAGGUUGAGCUGCUGUUUAUCUGUUCCUAGAGAUGCUAGAAUUCUGGAGAAUUUUAUCUUUGAAAAUCUUUAAAAUAUCACAUGAUGAGUUCCUGUAUGAUGAGAGUUUAAAUUCCUACCACAGCCAUAUAUACAUGCUUGCUAGACUAUGAGCCACACAUUUACUUUUUACUGCUUAUGAGCAUUGAGUGUGGUCAAGCUUUGUAGACCCUUAGGAGCUUGUCAUGUGGUUAAGUCAAGAUUCACUUGCACGUUCACUCAUACAUGCUACUUCUACCCUGGAAGUACCAUCCACAUAUACCCAUUCCCAUCUCCAGAACCACCCAAAAAUAUUCUACUCCUAAUCCGGGAGAGAAUAGCCAAAAAUAUUUCUAUUUUUUCCCUAUGAAAUAAAUGCUCAAGUUAUCUUGUCACUACCACUUGCUAUAUUAUCUCAUGAGAUGAGUGCUCUAAAGAAAAAAGAGAAAAAAAAAGAAGAAUACGAGGAAAUAAAAAGGGGCAAUUGCCCGGAACCUCGAAAGAAAAAAAAAGAAAAAUAAGUGAGACGAGAGGUAAAAAUGGACAAGUGUCCGACAGUAGAAUUAGGGGUACAAGAUACCCACCUGAGAGAAAAGAAAAAAAGAAAAAGAAAGAAAAAAGAAAAUAUAGAGCAUCUCAUUCUCCUCAAAAAGUUUCAAAAGAGCAAGAAAGGUAUGUAUCCCCUCAAAAGAGCAUAAGUAGAAUUAGACUUUCACCAUUGUUAUCACCAUCAUCACCAUACACCAUUCAUUCGCCACACAUGCACAUCUUGAUUUGACUUAUUGACUUGUUCUUCUGGAUCCAUGGUUUGACUAUGCAAUAUAUGUCUUGUAAGUAUGUAUUAGCUGUCUCCCACCUAUGAGCUCCAGAUAUCAAAACCUUAUUAGAGUAGGGUGAGAGAGAAGGCAAUGUCACUAUGCCUUAUACCACAAAUACCACAUACUUUGAGAGAAGGCAUAUACCAUUACUGCCUUGGUAAGGAUCCAGAAAUACCACAAAAGAGAGAGUAGAGAGAGUCAUACAAGGAAUCUCUGAGUUUUAUUUGAAAAUCUGCAAAAACUCCAGAGCUAUAGUUAAUCGAAAAACAAGAGACAUGGUGCUUGACUAGACUGUUCUAUCUUUUAACUACUAAAGACAGAAGUGAUGGUUACAAGUCCCAUGGUGAAAGGUAAAUGAGUAAGUUUUAAGUCUUAACAGUUUACUCUAACCAGAGAUGAGAUCUUGUUUAAACACAUGUGUAUCUUUAAGUUAUGAAACCACUGCAGAAACUCUUGAGUCCAUCUUUGCUUAGGGACGAGCAAAGGUUAAGCUUGGGGGAGCUUGUUGACGGUCCUUAAUGCUCACAUUUAACCAUAAACUAAUCAUGGAAAAGGAUCCAAAUGCAACCAACACCUAGACUUAGGGUUUUAUCUGACAGAAUUCCACGAGUUUUGGUGUUUGUCUAUUUCUGCAGGGGGUUAUCAGGAAAUACGGAAGAAAGGCCCACACAUCGGGUUUACAUAGAGAUAUUAACGUGCCGCGUAAUUUUCUAUCAUCUAGAAGACUCCAGAAGCCACGGGACCGAACGGAAGACGUAACGGAGCCGGGCACUGGGCGCCCGCCCUCCCCCCUGGACCAAUCAGGGCGAAGUUCGGGGAUCAUGCUCCACCGACCUAAUACUUCAAGGAAAACCACACGAUCAAUGUCGGUUUGAUCCGACGGCCCAGAUUCACUUGAAGGGACUAUAAAACCAGACCCCCCUAGCCCCUGGAGAUCGUACCUCUUCUACAGAAUCAAAGCUAGGGUUUCAAUUCUUCAUCCAAGUAGAGAGGAUCCCUCUAGUUCUUCUAGUUCUACCUCUAGUUCAUCUAGAUCUAGUUCUAGUUCAUCUAGUUCUAGUUCUAGUUUCUCUAGUUCUAGUUCUAGUUAGUUCUAGUUGUAAUCUAGAAAAUAGGCAGAGAGAAGAGGAGAGCAGAGGAGGAGCCGGAUCUGUCGGAUCUUCCUCAACAUUAUACUUUUGCAGCAUCUGGUUCGUUCUUCAUCGUUCUCCAGGUUCUUCAAUUCAUAAUUCCUGAGUUCUUUAAUUACUUUUAAGUUAUUUAUUGGAUUCCCGCUUGCAUCAAGUGCUCUAGUCUUUAUAACGCUAGAGUAGUAAUUAAUAGAUUAGACGUGGUGUUUAGUCUUGCGAUUACCUGGAAUUGCACCCAAUCCCACGGAUUGUUGUGGUAGCCCUAGGGUAGUGACAGCCCUAACGGUCGACGUAUUCGACCACGUUCGGAUCGGUGUUUGUAGGACCGUAGUCAGACCUUCCUAGCCCCCUUCUCAUCUCUUUCUGUGGUUAGUGCUCUGAUGUCCCGAUAUAAAUAAUCUUUGAAGUAAUUCUUGAUUCUUAGAUCAACUAGAGAACUCUCAGGAAACUUCCUCUGUUCCCACCAAAAAUAAUCAUAUAGUUAUCCUUGGGCGAUCUUGGAUCUUAAUUAGUACACUCACGUUCCCUGUGGAAAAUCGAUACUCUGGAAUACUCCCGGGUGAAAGCUACAUCGGUAUCCGUGCGCUUGCGGAUUUUUCUGUUUGCGUUUAAAAUACCCAACAAGCUUUCUGGCGCCGUUGCCGGGGAACGGUAGCUGUACUAGUUUCGAACAAAGUCGUCCGUGUAUCCUUUUUCUUUUCCUUUUUCACCACACUCACCUUAUCAUUUUCACCAUACCACAUGGAUUUCACUCUAAGCAUUAAUGAGCAUGGAAUUUAUUUCAUAGCCACUUCAUUUACUCCAUGCUCAUAUGCAACAUCUUCACAAUCCAUUGGUUUUUCCAACACCACCACAUUCGAGAUCUCCAACCCCCUCAUCCUUUCUAUUUAUAAAAACUUUAAAAGGGCGGUUGUCGAUGCAUAUGUCUAUAAUAAAUUUUGCAGAUCUCAUUGAGUUGAUCUUGAUAUAGGUCAGCGUGGGAGGGGAAACCACUUCGCCGACAUAAAUUGAUGGUUUCCCAAGGACAAGCUUAGUGUCCUAAAAUAAGCACUGAUCAGACCGUAACAUGAGCUUUUAAUUAUUUGCAACAUUACCUUGUGUGUUGCGCAUAUAAGAAUAAUUGUAAAAAUAUUCCUUUGGAUAUUCUUGUCACUAACCUUUCUAGGAUUGGAGCAAGAAGAUCGGAUGAAUGACAAGCACAAGGUAUGUCCAACCAAUCAUCAUACAACAUUGAAUUAAAUUCAUCCAAACUUGAAUUUUGCAAAAUUCAAGCUUGGGGGAGACUUUACAUGAAACAUCCUUUGCCAUGUUGCUAUGUUGGUUGUCCCUACCUUUGAGACAUGCUCAAUUUGUUAAAUACUAAUCACACUACUUCAUCUCCACUUGAGUAGAACUCUAUAAAUGCUCUCAUGCUACCUUUAUUUGCUUUAGUAUAUGUCUAGGUUUGGAGUCGUUUCAUUUAUCUCUUAAUUAAGCAUGGUGCUUAGUUUAGGGCUGAUGAUCUUAUUUCCGAGGGAGUUUAAAUUAAGCAUGAUGCUUAGGUUAAAAUGCCCUCCUAAAUCAAAUUAGACAUGGUGUCUAGGUUGAUCUUUGAGCCGAUAGUAUGCUAUAGUAAACAUUGGAUAUUUUGUUGGACUAACCCCUGCAGGAAAACUUUCAAUAUCGACCUGGGAAGUCCUGAGACAAACUCACAUUGGAGAUAAAGAGAGAGGCACAUGAAGUUUAACAAUUUACACAAGGAAGGCAUAGGUCACAAGAGAUGAUCCCUGGAGGGUGCCACAAACACGAUGCACAACCGCUAAGAGAGGAAAGCUUCCACAAGGUGAUACUGUACCAUCACUCUUCAAGUAAGGUAACAUCUUAAUGUACUUGACUAUCACUUUUAUAAGCUUCUCCUUAUUUCUGGCAUUCACAUGAAUAAAAGAGACAAACAUGUAUGAUCUACAACUCUAGAUUAACCAAACCAAUCGAUUCAAUAUGUUUAGUCCUUCCACCGUUGUGAUCCCACACUCCUAAUCAUAUGAGCUAAAAUGUUGCACAUGCAAUCUUUGGAAGAUAUAUAUAAAAAAACAACAUAAGUAUAGAUAGAUUAUCUUUCCAUUAGGUUGAGUGAUCUGAUCUGACAAAUGUUUUAAAUGUUACACUCAUGGUCUUAUUAUCCAUCAACUUUGUCUUGCUCACUAUGCUUAAGGUUUGAGAGAACAAAUACACUUUUGGUUUUGUUGGUAUUUUCCACCAACAGGGCCCAUACACUUGAUCUCUGCCUUGUCUCUAUGAGCAGGUACACUUCAAGCAAAAUAUGAAGGAGUUUUACAACUCCUAGACUCCACCAAGUGAAGAACCUAGAUCUACGAGCACAAACACACUGGAGAUACUGGACACUCAGGCAAUCACUGCCCUGAGAUGCUUAAGGACGCUACUACUGGAGUAACCCCGUUGUGGAUGUAAUUACUGACCUUCUGCCGGUCAAGAGAGACAAUCUAGGAUGCCCCAUCAUCCCGAUCUCCAUCGGCAUGCUUGCAGAUCGUACGCUAAGUUUCCCAAAGAGAAUAUUGAAGAACCUCUACGUCUGAGUUGGUACCUUAUACGCUCCAGCAGACUUCGUGGUGAUAGAGACUGAUACUGAUGAGAGGGCACCCAUCAUCUUAGGGAGGCCAUUCCUAAACACCUCAGGACCUGUCAUCUACGCUAGUGCUGCCAAGAUCAGUUUCUACAUCACGGGGAGGAAGGAGAUGUUUUCCUUCAAGAACAAGACACACAAAUCUCAGAGCAAUCCUGACAUGAACCAAGGAAGAGGACCAACACGAGGAACAGAAACAAGCAAAUGUGGACCGAGUCAGCUAAGAUGGUCACUGCAAUUCAAGGAGGUCAAGACCAUCAACUCAAGUCGCCUUUCUUGAUCAAGAAGGAUGACCCUGGUGUUCCAAGCAUCGAGUGCACAAUCAACGGAUAUUCUUUUCAGAAGACACUCUACGACACUGGAUCUGACGUCAACAUAAUGGUCGCAGUCACCUAUCAACUCCUGUUCGGAACCAUGCCCCUAAAACCGACAUACAUUCAACUCCAGAUGGCAGAUCAGACAUUCCGAAAGGUUAUUGACAUGAGAGAAGACGAGUACAAUCCACCCAUCAUCCUUGGAAGACCGUUCCUCAGCACUGUUAAAGCAAUCAUCUACAUUGGAACCGGAGAAGUCCACAUGCAUUUCCCCUCUGAUAAGGUACGCCACUAUUUUACUGACCCUAACUAUAUAGUUGAAAACUCUAAGUAGGUCAGGACAAGAAGAAGACGACACAACCGUAACCAGAGGAGGCAAAUCAUCAAGGACGGAUGGGCAGACUAUGAAGGAGAAGUCGUAAGGUCUGAAGACAUACAGCUUGAACAGAACUGUCCUGAGGAGACCGUAGCACCGAGUCAGGUGUGCAGAAAGAAGAUAGUUAUACACAAAGAGCAGGCUCUGCCGGAACCACCGACUAUGCCAUUCAGCAAAUCCCAGGACGACUGAGAAAACGGAGGGUCCCGUUCGGAGGACUUAAAAACACCGAACGCCUUGCCAAGCGGUAAACUUGGUAGUUAUCUUUUUCCUUUCAAUUAUUUUAAAAUAGUUUGCUUAGUUAAUCAGGUUCACAUCAUCUUGAAAAGAAAAUAAAAAUAGUAAGCCCCAUGUGGUUAUGCUCAUGGCAUAAAACCCAUAAGUACAUUCACUGUGGUGGCGUAAAAAUAAAAUAAAUAUAUUCCUGUCCUAUAAAAAUAAAAUUAUAAAAAUAGAUUUAUGAUCCCACUAAAAAGAGUAAUAUUUAUUGAGGAGACUCAACAUGAUAAAGGCUAGAUAUUUAUGCUAACACUUAACUAGUUCCACAAGCUUUGUUGUCUAUUUGAGCUCCACAGAAUUCAAGGAUCAAAGAAGACUAGCAGACGGAGGACAUCCUAGUCGCCGUCAGGGUGCUGCUGACAUUCAAAUAUACCUUCGCCACCUGCUAGCUACAUCAGAAGGAAUUACGUCAAAAUCCAGCUUGGGGGAGAGCACCUCCAUUUAUCCAGCUAAGUAUUCUACUCACGUUUAUAUUUUACUCAAAUAAUAAAAAGAUGCAUAAUCGUAAAAACCCAAAUAAAGAUUUUUUGCUUAUAUAUAUAUCUUUGCUUAGUCUGCUAAAUAAAUAAAUAAAUAAAAUUUGCUAUGAACCCUCAUGAUAAGCUCUCACAUGGAAAGAUGAAUAGUUGCUCUGCCAUGACUAGUUCUCAAAAUUGAAAUCUCUCUCAAGUUUAGGCAUCACUGUUAUUAAUUAAGAUUUGCUCUAAACCUGAACUUGUGGGAAGAGUACUUGAUCUGAAGUCUAAGUCAUUAACGGAUAUGAUAUGGGAAGGUUAAGCUGUUGUUUAUCUGUUCCUAGAGAUGCUAGAAUUCUGGAGAAUUUUAUCUUUGAAAAUCUUUAAAAUAUCACAUGAUGAGUUCCUGUAUGAUGAGAGUUUAAAUUCCUACCACAGCCAUAUAUACAUGCUUGCUAGACUAUGAGCCACACAUUUACUUUUUACUGCUUAUGAGCAUUGAGUGUGGUCAAGCUUUGUAGACCCUUAGGAGCUUGUCAUGUGGUUAAGUCAAGAUUCACUUGCACGUUCACUCAUACAUGCUACUUCUACUCUGGAAGUACCAUCCACAUAUACCCAUUUCCAUCUCCAGAACCACCCAAAAAUAUUCUACUCCUAAUCCGGGAGAGAAUAGCCAAAAAUAUUUCUAUUUUUUCCCUGUGAAAUAAAUGCUCAAGUUAUCUUGUCACUACCACUUGCUAUAUUAUCUCAUGAGAUGAGUGCUCUAAAGAAAAAAGAUAAAAAAAGAAGAAUACGAGGAAAUAAAAAGGGGCAAUUGCCCGGAACCUCGAAAGAAAAAAAAGAAGAAAAAGUGAGACGAGAGGUAAAAAUGGACAAGUGUCCGACAGUAGAAUUAGGGGUACAAGAUACCCACCUGAGAGAAAAGAGAAAAAGAAAUAUAGAGCAUCUUAUUCUCCUCAAAAAGUUUCAAAAGAGCAAGAAAGGUAUGUAUCCCCUCAAAAGAGCAUAAGUAGAAUUAGACUUUCACCAUUGUUAUCACCAUCAUCACCAUACACCAUUCAUUCGCCACACAUGCACAUCUUGAUUUGACUUAUUGACUUGUUCUUCUGGAUCUAUGGUUUGACUAUGCAAUAUAUGUCUUGUAAGUAUGUAUUAGCUGUCUCCCACCUAUGAGCUCCAGGUAUCAAAACCUUAUUAGAGUAGGGUGAGAGAGAAGGCAAUGUCACUAUACCUUAUACCACAAAUACCACAUACUUUGAGAGAAGGCAUAUACCAUUACUGCCUUGGUAAGGAUCUAGAAAUACCACAAAAGAGAGACUAGAGAGAGUCAUACAAGGAAUCUCUGAGUUUUAUUUGAAAAUCUGCAAAAACUCCAGAGCUAUAGUUAAUCGAAGAACAAGAGACAUGGUGCUUGACUAGACUGUUCUAUCUUUUAACUACUCAAGACAGAAGUGAUGGUUACAAGUCCCAUGGUGAAAGGUAAAUGAGUAAGUUUUAAGUCUUAACAGUUUACUCUAACCAGAGAUGAGAUCUUGUUUAAACGCAUGUGUAUCUUUAAGUUAUGAAACCACUGCAGAAACUCUUGAGUCCAUCUUUGCUCAGGGACGAGCAAAGGUUAAGCUUGGGGGAGCUUGUUGACGGUCCUUAAUGCUCACAUUUAACCAUCAACUAAUCAUGGAAAAGGAUCCAAAUGCAACCAACACCUAGACUUAGGGUUUUAUCUGACAGAAUUCCACGAGUUUUGGUGUUUGUCUAUUUCUGCAGGGGGUUAUCAGGAAAUACGGAAGAAAGGCCCACACGUCGGGUUUACAUAGAGAUAUUAACGUGCCGCGCAAUUUUCUAUCAUCUAGAAGACUCCAGAAGCCACGGGACCGAACGGGAGACGUAACGGAGCCGGGCACUGGGCGCCCGCCCUCCCCCCUGGACCAAUCAGGGCGAAGUUCGGGGAUCAUGCUCCACCGACCUAAUACUUCAAGGAAAACCACACGAUCAAUGUCGAUUUGAUCCGACGGCCCAGAUUCACUUGAAGGGACUAUAAAACCAGACCCCCCUGGCCCC
rnacentral:lncRNA from 1 species